AAGGGAGACCUAAUUCAGGUAAAAGACGAAAAAAAAGUAGUCGCUACCAAGAAUCAAUCCCAAAAGGUCGGAGCGAGGCGAAAUUGGCUUUCAAACUAGGUUCUGGGUUCAAACAAGACCUGAAUCAGGAACAAGGGCUAUUAGCUCAGGUGGUUAGAGCGCACCCCUGAUAAGGGUGAGGUCCCUGGUUCGAGUCCAGGAUGGCCCACCUGCACAGGUGGCAAAAACAAAAGAAGCGAGGAAUCAGCACCUUAUCUUAUAUACAUAUAUAAGAGAGAAUGCUGGUUCUGAGUACAGAGUCCAGAGGAACCUUGAAAACUGCAUAGAGCUAGGUGAAAAAGCCAAAAAAGAAGACCGCAAGGUCAAGCUAAUAAGGGCUAACGGUGGAUACCUAGGCAC
rnacentral:tRNA from 1 species